rnacentral:rRNA from 1 species
GAUGAACGCUAGCGGCAGGCCUAAUACAUGCAAGUCGAACGGUAAAUAUUGUAGCAAUACGAUAUGAGAGUGACGUACGGGUGCGUAACACGUAUGCAACCUACCCAAAACUGGAGUAUAGCUCGGGGAAACCCGAAUUAACCCUUCAUAGUAUCACUGGAUGGCAUCAUUUGGUGAUUAAAACUCAGGUGGUUUUGGAUGGGCAUGCGUCUGAUUAGCUAGUUGGAGGGGUAAAGGCCCACCAAGGCGAUGAUCAGGAGGGGAACUGAGAGGUUGAUCCCCCACACUGGCACUGAGAUACGGGUCAGACUCCUGCGGAGGGCAGCAGUAGGGAAUAUUGGUCAAUGGAUGCAAGUCUGAACCAGCCAUGCCGCGUGCAGGAAGAAGGCCUUCUGGGUUGUAAACUGCUUUUGACAGAGGAUAAAAUGGGCGUGCGCGCCUAAUUGAAGGUACCUGGUGAAUAAGCCACGGCUAACUACGUGCCAGCCGCCGCAGUAA